AUGGCCUCCAGCCACUUGCCCACGUCCAGCCCGGCCUUGUGCGCGUACACCAUGCCCUCCACCAGGCCCACCAUGGUGGACGCGAUGGCGAUCUGGUUGCCCAGCUUCGCGCGCUGCCCCGCGCCCGGCCCGCCCAUGUAGAGGGCGUUGCCCAUCAGCUUGAAGAGGGGCGCCAGGCGGGCCACCACGGCCGCGUCGCCGCCGGCGAAGAUCGAGAGGCAGGCGUUGCGGGCGCCCCGGUCGCCGCCUGACACGGGGGCGUCCACUGCGGCGCAGCCGGCCCCCGCCGCGGCCGCGGCUAUCUCGGCGGCGAGUGUGGGGUCGGAGGUGGUCAUGUCGACGAGGACGCCGCCUGGGGCGAGGCCUGCGAGAGCGCCCGUGGAGGGGUCGAGGGAAGUGGAGCGGACGUCGGAGGGGAAGCCGACCAUGAGGAAGAUGACGUCAGCGGCGGCCGCGGCGGCGCGCGGGCUGUCCACGAGGCGGGCGCCGCUAGAGACGAGGCCCUGA
rnacentral:rRNA from 1 species